CCUACGGGAGGCAGCAGUGAGGAAUAUUGGUCAAUGGACGAGAGUCUGAACCAGCCAAGUAGCGUGAAGGAUGACUGCCCUAUGGGUUGUAAACUUCUUUUAUAAAGGAAUAAAACGAGGCACGUGUGCCUUUUUGCAUGUACUUUAUGAAUAAGGAUCGGCUAACUCCGUGCCAGCAGCCGCGGUAAUACGGAGGAUCCGAGCGUUAUCCGGAUUUAUUGGGUUUAAAGGGAGCGUAGAUGGGUUGUUAAGUCAGUUGUGAAAGUUUGCGGCUCAACCGUAAAAUUGCAAUUGAUACUGGCAGUCGUGAGGACAGUUGAGGUAGGCGGAAUUCGUGGUGUAGCGGUGAAAUGCUUAGAUAUCACGAAGAAGCCCGAUUGCGAAGGCAGCUUACUAAACUGUGACUGACAUUGAUGCUCGAAAGUGUGGGUAUCAAACAGGAUUAGAUACCCGAGUAGUC
rnacentral:rRNA from 1 species